rnacentral:rRNA from 1 species
UGAACGCUGGCGGCGUGCCUAACACAUGCAAGUCGAGCGAGAAACUCAUGACCAAUACUCGGUAGCGUGAUGAGCGGAAAGCGGCGGACGGGUGAGUAACGCGUAGGCAACCUGCCCCUUGCAGAGGGAUAGCCUCGGGAAACCGGGAUUAAAACCUCAUAAUGCGUAACGGAGACAUCUCCGAUACGCCAAAGAUUUAUCGGCAAGGGAUGGGCCUGCGUCUGAUUAGUUAGUUGGUGGGGUAACGGCCUACCAAGGCAGCGAUCAGUAGCCGACCUGAGAGGGUGAUCGGCCACAUUGGAACUGAGACACGGUCCAAACUCCUACGGGAGGCAGCAGUGGGGAAUAUUGCACAAUGGGCGAAAGCCUGAUGCAGCAACGCCGCGUGAAGGAUGAAGGCCCUUGGGUCGUAAACUUCUGUUCUAAGGGAAGAUAAUGACGGUACCUUAGGAGCAAGUCCCGGCUAACUACGUGCCAGCCGCCGC